rnacentral:rRNA from 1 species
CCUACCACCCGAGAACUACGAACUAAAGUUUAAAACUCAAAGGACUUGGCGGUUUUUUAGACCUUCCUGGAGGAGCUUGCUACAUAAUCGAUAACCCACGAUACACCUCACCAACCUUCGCAAUUAUACUCAACUUGUAUACCAUCGUCGUCAGUCUACUUCAUAAGAAAGUAUACACAAUGAAACCCCUCUUAACGUCAGAUCAAGGUGCAGUUUAUAGGUUGGGGAAUAGUGAGCUACAAUAAGUAAACAAAACCAAAACACCCGUAUGAACAACCCAGUGAAAUAAGGUUAGAAACAGGAUUCAGCAGUAAUACCUACAAGAAAAUAGGCAU